AAAAACAGUUGGNCUGCCCACUGANNGGUUUAAAGGNCCGCGGUANAAUGACCGUGCAAAGGUAGCAUAAUAAUUAGUCUUUUAAUUGAAGCCUGGAAUGAAGGGUCGGACAAAAAGUAACCUGUCUCCUUUUUAAAAAUUGAACUUAACUUUUAAGUGAAAAGGCUUAAAUACUCUUAAAGGACGACAAGACCCUAUAAAACUUUAUAAAAACAGGAUUAAACUUUUAAUUUAUUUUUUNNNNNUAACAAAGAUUAGUACUGCUUUUAUUUCGUUGGGGCGACGAAAGUAUAACUUUUUAACUGCUUUUUAUUUUUUAACAAAAAUAUUUGUUUUUGCUGACCCUUUUUUAAGAUCUAAAGAAAAAGUUACUUUAGGGAUANCAGCGNUAUUUUCUUUGAGAGUCCANAUCGACAAGAAAGCUUNUGACCUCGAUGGUGAAUUAAAANNCCCACUAUNGGUGCAGCAAUUAUAGANNGGGAGGUCUGUUCGACCUUU
rnacentral:rRNA from 1 species